rnacentral:rRNA from 1 species
GAUGAACGCUGGCGGCGUGCCUAAUACAUGCAAGUCGAGCGAACAGACGAGGAGCUUGCUCCUCUGACGUUAGCGGCGGACGGGUGAGUAACACGUGGAUAACCUACCUAUAAGACUGGGAUAACUUCGGGAAACCGGAGCUAAUACCGGAUAAUAUAUUGAACCGCAUGGUUCAAUAGUGAAAGACGGUUUUGCUGUCACUUAUAGAUGGUUCCGGGCCGCAUUAGCUAGUUGGUAAGGUAACGGCUUACCAAGGCAACGAUGCGUAGCCGACCUGAGAGGGUGAUCGGCCACACUGGAACUGAGACACGGUCCAGACUCCUACGGGAGGCAGCAGUAGGGAAUCUUCCGCAAUGGGCGAAAGCUUGACGGAGCAACGCCGCGUGAGUGAUGAAGGUCUUCGGAUCGUAAAACUCUGUUAUUAGGGAAGAACAAAUGUGUAAGUAACUAUGCACGUCUUGACGGUACCUAAUCAGAAAGCCACGGCUAACUACGUG